AUUGAACGCUGGCGGCAGGCCUAACCCAUGCAAGUCGAACGAGUGGCGGACGGGUGAGUAAUGUCUGGGAAACUGCCCGAUGGAGGGGGAUAACUACUGGCAACGGUAGCUAAUACCGACUACAAUCGGAUGUGCCCAUAUGGGAUUAGCUUGUUGGUGGGGUAAAGGCUCACCCAGGCGACGAUCCCUAGCUGGUCUGAGAGGAUGACCAGCCACAAUGGAAAUGAGACAAGGUCCAGACUCCUACGGGAGGCAGCAGUGGGGAAUAUUGCACAAUGGGUGCAAGCCUGAUGCAGCCAUGCCGCGUGUAUGAAGAAGGCCUUCGGGUUGUAAAGUACUUUCAGCGGGGAGGCGUUACCCGCAGAAGAAGCACCGGCUAACUCCGUGCCAGAAGCCGCGGUAAUAC
rnacentral:rRNA from 1 species